rnacentral:lncRNA from 1 species
CGACACAUUUUUUUAUGUUCAAUGUUUACAGCAUUCGAUGAUCGUCAUUGGAUAUAACACUCCUACGGAUUAUAUACGUAAUCAGGAAAAAAAACUUAUCACCUACAAGUACAACUUCCUAAUUUUCAGAGGCGAUUCAGUUUCUUCAGUACAUACAAAAAAUGUAAGUAAACAUAGUAAACAUAGAUUAUCAUUACUUCCAAUAUGACUUCACACACAGAUAAUCAAACUGCUGUAUGUGUUCAUUAGUUAAAUGAAGUAAGUCGAUUGUUUGUUGUUCCUUUAGGUCGGAUAUCGUGUUGACGUCAUUAUUUAGAUGACAUGUUAUAGUUCUAAUAUAUAUAAUAGACAUUAGUUUUGAACGAAUACAUUAAGACAAUACGGUUAUAACAUUGAAAUAUUCAACUGCGGAUGAUUCAGGGGGUACUCCCCACGUUGACUGGGAAAUAUAUCUUAUUAUUAAAAAUCGUGAGAAAAAAAAUUUCACCUCAUUACACUCACCAGUUCUUCGUUUUAAGGAAUUUUGCCCGUUUACAAAAUAAACUAUAUUUUACUAUUAAGCUUUUUUUUUUUAUCAAAACAAAGUGAUAUCAAAUACAAAUAUACUAGUAGAACAAUAAAUUAUAUUAAGGAACAAUAUUUUGUAUUUAAACUAAAGGACGCAGUAUCUUAUUAUUUCAGAAAUUAUCAGUGAAUAUGGCAAACAGACAAAGGUUUCCAGAUGGAGCAAUUGUUAUGACAUCUUUAGAGCUGGAUGGGUUUCUUUUGUUUAUUUCAAGGCUCACUACAAGUAAUGAUCUAACGAAGUUUUCAGAAGCUUUAUCUUCUAAUCCUCUACAUCUAUAUGUAAAAUUACAAAAGAUAAAAAAUGCAAUGGAUGCUGAAACAAUGCUUGUUGAUACUAUUUUGUCUAAACAUACCCUUUCGGAGAUUGUUGCUACACUGUACAAUAGCAAAUAUAGCUAUUUGGCAGAGAUAUUGUUCUGUUGUUAUCAACAAUGUCAACAGAAAGCAUCUAUAAUCCGUAUGAACAAGACACAAACAGAAAACCGAAGAAAAAUAAGUUUAUAUUUCAGAGAUAUCAAGAAACUUGUACAUGAUAUAGCAUUUAAAAAUCCACAUGCAGAUGUUAACAGACUCAGUAAUAUAAUGAAACUGAAUAUUGAAAGAGAAAUAAAUCCUGUUCGAAAGAUGUAUCUCUGUGACAAAUAUACUGCUCUAAAAGCAGCUGAAAUGGACGCUUUAAUCAAUAUCACUGGACGUGU